rnacentral:tRNA from 1 species
GUGGGUAUAGCUCAGUGGUAGAGUGCAUGCUUAGCAUGCAUGAGGUCCUGGGUUCAAUCCCCCAGUACCUCCA